CGCCUCUCUUAAAGUCCUUGUAGACAAUUUGAAUAGAAGAUUUGAUAGAAAAUGAAUAAAAUCUCAAAGCCUUCGGGGGAUAUUGCCUGUUGAUCGGAAUGAAUCCUAAAAUCAAAUAUUCGAGCUGGCGUAUCGAUUUUAAUUGCGAUUGAUCAUUUCAGAAGUGUAGAUUUUGGGACAGAAGGUGAUGACCAAUGAUCGAUAGCCCGCCAACCAACAGCAGAAAGCGACACCGCUUUGACAUUGGGUUGGGUUUCUUGAAAUUGACCAGUUUUCAUACAAAAG
rnacentral:misc_RNA from 1 species